rnacentral:sRNA from 1 species
GUCGGCGAGCUGCGGGCAGAUGAAGUGCACGUGGGCGUCGAUGGCGCCGGCCGUGAGGAUCUUCCCGUUCCCGGCGAUGACCUCGGUCUCCGGGCCGAUCACCAGGUCGGGGUGGACCCCGUCCAUGGUGUCGGGGUUGCCGGCCUUGCCCAGCGCGGUGAUCCGGCCGUCGCGCAGUCCGACGUCGGCCUUGACCACUCCCCAGUGGUCGAGCACCACCGCGCCGGUGAUCACGGUGUCGGGGGCGCCCUCGGCCCGGCCGGCGCGGGCCUGGCCCAUGGACUCACGGAU